AAAAAAGUGCCGUGUCUAUGUUUGUUUUUCUUUUGUUAUUUGUUGGUUUUUUUUUGGUGUGGUUUCUAUAGACUUUUCUUUUAAAAAAGAUUACAGUCCAAUAAGAAAUUGAAAUAGUAAUUGGGCUAACGUGGGUUAGCCAGAGUUACAGAAAGAGAGAAUUUUCGGUGAAGCUAAUCGGAGUAUAAAAGGAAAAACUGUCAAGCUUUUAUGCAAUUUUC